GUCAGGAGUUCGAGACCAGCCUGGUCAACAUGGCAAAACCUUGUCUCCACUAAAAAUACAAAAAUUAGCCAAGCGUGGUGGCAGACGCCUGUAAUCCCAGCCACUAGGGAGGCUGAGGCAGGAGAAUCACUUGAACCCAGGAGGUGGACGUUGCAGUGAGCUAAGAUCGCACCACUGCACUCCAGCCUGGGCAAUAAGAGUGAAACUUCAUCUCAAAAAAAAAAAAAAAAAAAAAGUCCGGGCACAUUGGCUCACACCUGUAACCCCAGCACUUUGGGAGGCCAAGGCGGGUGGAAUCACCUGAGGUUGGGAGUUCGAGACCAGCCUGACCAACAUGGAGAAAUCCCAUCUCUACUAAAAAUAUAAAAAAUUAGCCGGGCAUAGUGGCGCAUGCCUGUAAUUCCAGCUACUGGGGAGGCCAAAGCAGGAGAAUCGCUUGAACCCGGGAGGUGGAGGUUGCGGUCAGCCGAGAUCGUGCCAUUGCACUCCAGCCUAGGCAACAAAAGUGAAACUCCAUCUCAAAAAUAAUAAUAAUAAAUAAUACAUCUUGGGGACAAUUGGGGAAUAUGGAACACAGAUCAUGUUUUAGGAAACACUGAUCUGUGGACUAAAUGUUGUCCCCCGAAAAUCCGUAUGUUGAAGCCCUAACCCCCAGUGUGACUGUAUUUGGAAUAAGGAAGUUAAUUAAGGUUAAAUGAGGUUAUGGAGUAGGGCCCUAAUCCAAUAGGAUUCCUUAUAAAAAGAAACACCAUUGUUUCCUGUUAUUUCAGUGUUAAAAUAAAAAGAGGUCAGGCGCGGUGGCUCACACCUGUAAUCCCAGCACUUUGGGAGGCUGAGGCAAGCAGAUCACUUGAGGUCAGGACUUUGAGAUCAGCCUGGCCGACAUGGUGAAACCCCAUCUCUACUAAAAUACAAAAAUUAACCUGGCGUGGUGGUGCAUGCCUGUAAUGCCAGCUACUCGGGAGGCUGAGGCAGGAGAAUCGCUUGAACUUGGGAGGCGGAAGUUGCAGUGAGCUAUCAUGCCAUUGCACUCCAGCCUGGGCAACAGAGAGAGACUCCUUCUCAAAAAAAAAAAAAAAAAAAAAAAAGGCUGGGCGCGGUGGCUCACGCCUGUAAUCCCAAGACUUUGGGAGGCCAAGGCGGGCGGAUCAUGAGGUCAGGAGAUCAAGACCAUCCUGGCUAACACGGUGAAACCCUGUCUCUACUAAAAAUACAAAAAACUAGCCAGGCAUGGUGGCAGGCGCCUGUAGUCCCAGCUACUCGGGAGGCUGAGGCAGAAGAAUGGCAUGAACCUGGGAGGCGGAGCUUGCAGUGAGCCAAGAUCGCUCCACUGCACUCCAGCCUGAGUCACAGAGUGAGACUCCAUGUCAAAAAAAAAAAAGGCCUGGCAUGGUGGCUCACGCCUGUAAUCUCAGCACUUUGGGAGGCUGAGGUGGGUGGAUCACCUGAGAUCAGGAGUUUGAGACCAGCCUGGCCAACGAGACGAAACCCCGUCUCUACCAAAAAUACAAAAAUUAUCCGGGCCUGGUGGCAUUCGCCUGUAGUCCCAGAUACUCAGGCGGCUGAGGCAGGAGAAUUGUUUGAACCUGGGAGGUGGAGGUUGCAGUGAUCUGAGAUCACGCCACUGCACUCCAGCCUGGGAGACAGAGCGAAACUCCAUCUCAAAAAGAAAAAAAAAGAAAGAAAGAAAAGAAGAAACACCAGAGAGCUUGCUUUCUCUCUUCAUCCCCAAGUGAGGACACAGCAAGAAGGCAGCCAUCUGCAAGCCAGGAAUAGAGACCUCGCCAGAAACUAAACAGGCUAGGCCCUUGAUCUUGGACUUCUGACCUCCAGAACUGCAAGAAAUAAAUUUCUCAAUCUCUGUCAGUCAGUCUAGAGUAUACCAUAAUAGUCUCCCAGUCUAUGUACCGUCACAUACACAUGACAUUUCAGUCAACCACAGACCAAAUAUUCGACAGUGGUCUCAUAAGAUUAUAAUACUGUAUUUUUACUGCACCUUUUCCAUCUAUAGAUAUGUUUAGAUACACAAAUGCCUACCUUUGUAUUACAUUUGCCUACAGUAUUCAUUACAGUAACAUUCCGUACAGGUUUGUAGCCUAGGAGCAAUAGGUUACAUCAUAUACCUUAGGAGUGUAGUAGUCUAUCCCAUGUAGGUUUGUGUAAGUGCAACAUGUCCUCAAAUCACAUCAUUUUGUUUAACAUCCUUUUGUUAUAGUGUUGAUGAGAACCCGGGCGUGGUGGCUCACGUCUGUAAUCCCAAGCACUUUGGGAGGCCAAGGUGGGCAGAUCACCUAAGGUCACGAGUUCAAGAACAGCCUGGCCAACAUGGUGAAAUCCACUCUCUACUAAAAAUACAAAACUUAGCCAGGCGUGGUGGCAUGUACUGGUAAUCACAGCUACUUGGGAGGCUGAGACAAGAGAAUCGCUUUAACCUGGAAGGCAGAGGUUGCAGUGAGCUGAGACCACACCCCUGCACUCCAGCCUUGGUGAUAGAGUGAGACUCUGUCUCAAAAAAUAAUAGUAAUAUUAAUAAUAAUGUUGAUGAGAAAAUCAAUUCCCAGCAGGGAGCCAAUAUCUGUGUGGAGUUUGCAUGUUCUCCCCAGGUCUGUGUGGGUUUUCUCCAGGUAAUCUGGUUUCUUCCCACAUCCCAAAGACAUGUGUAUUAGGUUCAUUGGUGUGUCUAAAUGGUCCCGGUCUGAGUGAAUGUGAAUAUGUGUGCUCUGCCAUGGAAUGGCAUCUUGUCCAGGGUUGGCUUCUGCCUUGUGCCCUGAGCUGCUGCGAUAGGCUCCGGCCACUCACAAACCUCAACUGGAAUAAGCGGGUAAAUAAUUACCUUACUUGUUUUUUAUUCAUGUUUCUUAAGCAUAUAUAUAGUUCACAUUUAUUUCAAUAUUUAAUAUUAGAAAUGUUUUGGAUCUUUAUUUAGAAGUUUGGUGCUGUUUUGUGGCAAGAAAUAAGCAAUAAGAACUUAGCUCUUGUUUAUAUCAAUUAGCCUAUGGCAAAAUUGGUUUUAUGAUACAUUGUUUUGUUUAAAGAUGAAGUUUCCGGGCCAGGCCAACAUGGUAAACAGCCUGGCCAACAUGGUGAAACCCUGUCUCUACUAAAAAUACAAAACUUAGCCAGGUAUGGUGGCGCACACCUGUAGUCCCAGCUACUUGGGAGACUGAGGUGAGAGGAUCACUUGAAUGCGGGAGGUAGGGGUUGCAGUGAGCUGAGGUCCCACCACUGCACUCCAGCCUGGGUGACAGAGCAAGACUCGGUCUCAAAAACAAACAAACAACAAGGAAAAACAGAAAAUUAGUGGCCGGGCGAGGUGGCUCACACCUGUAAUCCCUGCACUUUGAGAGGCUGAGGCAGGUAGAUCACCUGAGAUCAGGAGUUUGAGACCAGCCUGGCCAACAUGAUGAAACCCCAUCUCUAGUAAAAAUACAAAAAAUUAGCUGCAUGUGGUGGUGCGCGCCUGUAAUCCCAGCUACUCAGGAGGCUAAGGAGAGAGAAUCACUUGAACCCCGGAGGUGGAGGUUGUAGUGAGCCAAGAUCGUGCCACUGCAUUCCAGCCUGGGCAACAAGAGCGAAACUCCAUCUCAAAAAAAAAAAAAAAAAGAAAAGAAAAGGAAAGAAAAGAAAAAAAGAAAAUUACUAUAAAAUGCUUCUGUUUUACAAAUGUUAGGCCUUUUGUAUACAUCACUUCCCACCCUUAAAACAACCCUGUAAGAUUGGUUUCAUAAUCCCUAUGUUUAUGCAAGAAGAAAUCAAGGCUCACAAAGCUAAAGACGCCUGCCCAGACACACACACACACACACGCGCACGCGCAAAUGGGGAGCCAAGAUUCAAACAGAAGGUUCUCUAGUCCGAAAACCUGCUCACCUGUGCAGUAAAAGAAUAUAAACCUGAGCCUCCAACCCCAAGGUGCCUGCCCACCCAAAACAAACCCUGCCAGACUGUCCCUGAGAGGCUCAGGAGAAGGAAACGCUAAAAGAUGGCAAGGAGCAAAGUCCCCUUGGGCUGGAAGGCUCUGGAGUAGCUGGUCAUCCUUGUUUUGCAGAACUGCUUACAAGCCAUCACUUCCACCUGAGGUUAGCCUUGUGAGAUAGCAAAUAUCACUGUCCCCCUCUGCCCGAGUCCAAGGUCACAUCACUGACUGGAUAAAAACCCAGGUCUCCCAGCUGCCAUCUGGUCUUCAUUCCAAAAUCCAGACAGAGUCUCUUAUGAGCUUGUGGCCACAGAUACAAAAGUAGAUGCUGAUGUGUGUCUCAUUUUAUUCAGGAAAGGUCUGGAGUGGCUUGAGCCAUACCCUGCUUCAGAACUGAACCCAAGUGGGAGUGAGGGCAGCAUGCAGCUAAAGGCACAAGUCUGGAAGUUUCAAAUCCCAGGAUUAACUGAAUAUGAGGGAAGAGAGUAGAUCACCAAUCCUCAGAAAAGGCAUUUAAGGGCCAAGCACGGUGGCAC
rnacentral:lncRNA from 1 species